AAUUUAAAUUUAAUAGGGUAAAACCCUGUGCAUUUAACAUAAUGCUGCACUUUAGAAAAUGGGUUGAAAUGUUGGUGGAGCUGGGUUCCGACUAUCGGCUUGUGGAGCUCUCGGGAGACCUCUGUUUUCCACCCGGUUCUCCCCUCCCCGCAGCUCAGCGCAUCUCUGUCUGAUCGCAGCUCCUGUCUGCUGCGCGGGCUGCCGGCUUGUGGAGCUCUGGGAUGGAAACCUUUCCACCCAGUUCUCCCCAGCGGCAGCUCUGCGCAUCUCAGAUCCCAGUGGCGCUUGUCUGCUGUGCGGCUGCCGGCUUGUGGAGCUCUCGAAUGGAAACCGACGCUUUCCACCCGGUUCUCCCCUCCCCGCAGCUCAGCGCAUCUCUGAUCGCCGCGGCUGUCUGCUGCGCGGGCUGCCGGCUUGUGGAGCUCUGGGAUGGAAAUCUUUCCACCCGGUUCUGCCCAGCGGCAGCUUUGCGCAUCUCAGAUCACAGCGGCGCUUGUCUGCUGUGCGGCUGCCGGCUUGUGGAGCUCUCGGGAGACCUCAGUGUUCGACCUGGUUUUACCCAGCGGUCAGCCUGGCGUAUCUCUGACUCAGAAGCUCUGGUGUUGUGCACAGUUAACUCCGGUUGUAGCUAGGUUGCUACCUCCGUUAGCUUAGCUCCCACCUCCGCGUUAGCUUUGGGUUAGCUUCAGGUUAGCUUGUAGCUAGUUCGACCGGGUGUCGUCAGUUGAUCCCAGCCUUACAGCCCCACCCUCAGCUCCACCUCUCUUCCCUUUUGUGGAAUUGUCUGGGCUUGACGGAACCUGUGACACAGUCAAAAUGGUGGUGGUGGCCACCUCCCAUUUCUCCUCAAAAAGUUGUUAUUGGAGUCUAUGGAAACCCAUUGUCCAUAUAUGUAUAUGUUGAUGAUCACCACACCACUUAUUGAAAAGGUAUUAAAAUAUAUAUUGUUCUCUGCUAAAUUUAGUUAAUUUUCCAAUCAAAAGUCCCUGUUAAGGAGCUGCAGUUCGUCACCCAAUAUGAAGUCUCACAGUUUGUUAAAACUUCUCCAAGUUGGCACACUAAGAAAAUGCCGGGUGAAAAAAUAUCGAAGCUUUUGCGACAUUUUGUUAAAGUAAAAGGAAACAGAGUAAAGUUGUGUCACAAAUAGGGCUGCAACAACGAAUCGAUAAAUUCGAUGAAAAUCGAUUACUAAAAGCGUUGGCAACGAAUUGCGUCAUCGAUUCGUUGUGUUGCACAACUCUUCCAAAAGCCCCCUCCCCUCCCGCCCGCCGUUGCGUGCAGACCGGAGAGCCGGCAGGUGUUUGGAAGAGGAACAUGGCAGAAGCAGCGAGACCCAAAAAAAGUAAAAACUUCUAAAGUUUGGGAGCAUUUUCAGUUAAAUCAGGCGAAGACAUUCGUUACCUGCAACGUUUGUAGGUCAGACUUAGCAUGGCACGGGAGUACUACAGUGAUGAUGCAGCAUCUUAAACGCAAGCAUGUCAGAAUCAUCAGCGAGGAAGGAGAGAGCUCGGUGUCCGGGUAAGUUAAAGAGCAAGUAACGUCUAAAUUAACUUUUUUUUGCUAAUGAACUGUAUAAAUGAGUGUCUAAUAGUGCUUUAAAUGUGUGUAUUCAUUAUUUUAGCAUUUUGGUGCAUUUUCUUCAAAAAUUAAAAAUUCUGCCUAAAUACCACAGUAUAGCGCCACCUUCAGCUUAAAACAUAGAAUUUGACUCAUUUUGAAUAAAUUUUAGCCAAUGGCUAAAGAGUAAGAUACAACGUAAAUCAGUAGAAUACUACGUAGCAGCUCUGUGUCAACGUUAUAAAAGCAACGAGCGUCUCGGCCACGCCUUGUGGCGAGUUGGGAGUUGGAUUUGCAAGUGAGUGUAGGAGGCUAGCCGUAGUUCAGCAUUAGCAUAUAGCAUUAGCAUAUCCUAGUCUUUAGCAUAGCUUUUAGUGUUAUACAUACUUAUUUAGUGUUAGCUUGUCUGUUGGAUAUUGUAGUUUAGUUAGUGUUUGGCUGUUAGUGUAAUUAGGAAAGUAGUUCGGGUUUAGUACUCCAUAUCGUGUUAGCAUGGUGAGAUGGUGUAGUGUAGUAUGGUUGCGGUGGCUCUGUGGGCAUUUUAUCCGCGAUUCUGCACGCCUCCGUUUGAAGAGGGAGGCUGUGCCCACCGUGGCUCUUCCGCGAUUUAGAUGCAGCCCACCGACUCUGCUCCCCCACCACGGCGGGCUCCAGUCUGAGGUGAGUCAGCUAAAUAAAGUUUUAACAUCUUCUAACAACAAUUCCCUACCUAAAUGCAAAGUCCGAGAGACGUGGUUCACUUCAUUUAGCUAGUCAGUCGGUAAUUCUGCAACAGUGUCUCUAACUAACGCAGCACUAGUUGACAGACAGCAUUACAGUGUGAAAUCCAGCUUGUGACCCAGUUUUGUGAGGAAUUCUGUUCAGGAGGUCGCAUUUCAGGCCCUCCACAUCAUAUGUGACUGACUUUUACGUUAUAACAACGAUCACACACUAGGACUGUUAUAAAGCGCCUAUAUAGGAGUUUCUUUUGUAUAUUAUCUGACUUUAUAAACUCCAACAACAAUGUGCUUCUAUUUGUUUUUCAGGCUAAAUCUACCCAAGACACUGGCUGUCAGACUGAUUUAGCUGCAAGAAUGCACUUGUCCAGGCUGACAUGAAGCCUUACCGGCGUAGCAAAGCCAGCCAGAAGAGCUCACAGCCUCAGUGUGUCUUGUGACACGGGGACCAUGACGGAAAUUCAUCUUCCAGAAGGUCCCAGAGCAGCGUCCACACCCCCUGAAAAGACCAAGAUGUGAGGUGUCUGCUGUUGAUUCCAGCUUCCACCUCAGUGACAGUGCAAGCUCAGUGAACUGUUCAAGGAGGCUACUGAUUCUGGCCCUGUGACACUUGGUGGUGAUGUGUGAGCUGAUUCACCUGGACACUCAGCAAAAUAUGGACUCUACACCAUGAGGCAGGCACAAGUUAAUACUUAUAAGAGCACAUAAGGUGAGCAACACCACAUAUUAUUGUACACUGUCCUGGAUUUGUUUUCCUUCUGCAUGAUUUGUUUUCUUUCUGCAUCUCAUCAUUAGCCUGGCUGAUCACCUGAUAACUCUGUCAUCUGGUUAUGACAGCAUGAGGAUGUCCUCACACACCUGUAACCUAUCAGCUCAUCUGGCAGAAUAGAGAGAGGAGACAACACCACAUCUCCUGUUCCUGGAAAGCCUUCAGCCAUCCUUCGAUGACUGAGAACCUCCAUCAGCUCUCUGAGAUAUUUGGCAGCACAAAAU